GUUUUGAGUGUCCAUGUGUUCAAUUCGGAAAAAGUUUAUAGCUGCACCAUGACAAGGAAAAUAUACAUGCACAAUCCAGCAAAAAAUGGCUAAAAGACUUACUGACCCGGAGGAAGAUUGGAUGAUUCAAUUAACUUGCUAAGUAGCUUGGUAGAUUUGGUGGCUCCUAUAUAGGAUAUUGGAGUAUCUAGCAUCUCGUUAAGUAUUAUAUAUGAAGAAGUUGGAUUUCUGCCGUCAAUUCUACCGUAAUCUAGUUUUCUCGCUAUUGAACUUUCCUAUUAUUUUGCGCUCUUGGGCUUGGAUAUGAUAUGUUUGAUGUUACGUACACUUUUCGUGGUACGAUUUUUCGUUAUUUUGUACUCUAUGAAUUCGGAUACCGUUUGCUAAGUAUUUGAUGAACACUCUUUAUUUAUGGAAGUUAUGAAUGAAUUGUUCUUGAA